rnacentral:tRNA from 1 species
GCCGGUAUAAGUCUCAGUUGGUAGAGCUUCCAGUAGCCAUGGUAAUGCUGGAGAGUCAUUGGUUCAAAACCAGUUACCGGCCCCA